rnacentral:rRNA from 1 species
AGAGUUUGAUCAUGGCUCAGGAUGAACGCUAGCUACAGGCUUAACACAUGCAAGUCGAGGGGCAGCAUCAUCAAAGCUUGCUUUGAUGGAUGGCGACCGGCGCACGGGUGAGUAACACGUAUCCAACCUGCCGACAACACUGGGAUAGCCUUUCGAAAGAAAGAUUAAUACCGGAUGGUAUAGUUUUCCCGCAUGGGAUGAUUAUUAAAGAAUUUCGGUUGUCGAUGGGGAUGCGUUCCAUUAGGCAGUUGGCGGGGUAACGGCCCACCGAACCUACGAUGGAUAGGGGUUCUGAGAGGAAGGUCCCCCACAUUGGAACUGAGACACGGUCCAAACUCCUACGGGAGGCAGCAGUGAGGAAUAUUGGUCAAUGGACGAGAGUCUGAACCAGCCAAGUAGCGUGAAGGAUGACUGCCCUAUGGGUUGUAAACUUCUUUUAUACGGGAAUAAAGUGAGCCACGUGUGGCUUUU